rnacentral:misc_RNA from 1 species
AACACACCCCCAAUUCUCCGCUCAUCCUUAUCGACGACAUCAGCCUGCUGAUGAGCUCCCACACGAAUUGCUUGAUUCAUGGUUGAAGACGAUCGAGGCCCUGCAUGGGCCAAGUUUUGUUCCUGAUCAAAACUCGGAAAUGAGCAUUCGCUUCGAAUGUUGAUUUCUGGCUUUUGUCAGAUCGUUCUUUAAAAAUUCGGAUAUGUGAUAGAUAUAGACUGAUGGCCAGUUUCACUGCUGGUUAAUCAGGCUAAGGUAAAAUUUGUGAGUUCUGCUCGAAAGAGCAACAUGCGAAUUUUCGGCGAAUGUCGUCUUCACAGUAUAACCAGAUUGCUUGGGGUAUAUAUGGUCACUUUAAAAAUUCGGAUAUGUGAUAGAUAUAGACUGAUGACCAGUUUCACUGCUGGUUAAUCAGGCUAAGGUAAAAUUUGUGAGUUCUGCUCGAAAGAGCAACAUGCGAAUUUUCGGCGAAUGUCCUCUUCGCAGUAUAACCAGAUUGCUUGGGGUCAAAUAUGGUCAAGAUUGCUUGGGGUUAUAUAUGGUCA